GUGCUUGCUUCGGCAGCGCAUACACUACAAUUGGAAUGAUACAGAGAAGAUUAGCAUGACCAGCUCUAGCUUUUUAUGCAAAUUCCAAGAACCCAAAUUCAGGUUG
ensembl:snRNA U6 U6 spliceosomal RNA